GAGGUUUUCCCUGUGGAUCAAGGAGGAGUGACAGGACGUUCAUUACCAGCACCACAGGGACAUUUCUCUGAGGAUCUUCAUGGCAGAGAAGCUCCUUACAGACAUGCACUGGGUCCAAACAAGUUUCAUUCCUGCCUUGGCGGCGACGCAUCGAGAAGGAUCUGACAACAAACAAGGGGAAGUGAGGAAUGGAAAGGCUCAGAGGUGUGAUUGGCUGAGUUCAGAUAAGCAGGGAGAAUGAUCUGCCACCUACGUGUUUCCACAGCAUACAGUACCUUCUGCAUCACAUCCUCGCUCCUGUGUGGUAUAGUUUCUUUUUUGUGAGAACACAUCUCUAGGAGGGGAUUCGCUUACUGUGAAAUGUAAAUGUAAACAACAGAUGCAGGAAAAAAAGCAUUUGUGAGCAUGAGACACAAUCUGUUGCAUUCACGACUAAAAGGUUUAAAUCG